UCCUACGGGAGGCAGCAGUGGGGAAUAUUGCACAAUGGGCGCAAGCCUGAUGCAGCCAUGCCGCGUGUAUGAAGAAGGCCUUCGGGUUGUAAAGUACUUUCAGUCGGGAGGAAGGUGAUAAAGUUAAUACCCUUGACAAUUGACGUUACCCACAGAAGAAGCACCGGCUAACUCCGUGCCAGCAGCCGCGGUAA
rnacentral:rRNA from 1 species